rnacentral:tRNA from 1 species
GGCCUCGUAGCUCAGCCGGUAGAGCGCUCACGGUACUAGAGCAAGGGUGGCAACCACGCGUGGUUUCGAAUCCCACCGGGGCCA